rnacentral:rRNA from 1 species
AAAUGAAUAGACGGGGACCCGCACAAGCAGCGGAGCGUGUGGUUUAAUUCGAGGCUACGCGAAGAACCUUACCAGGGUUUGACAUGCUGGUGGUAGUGAAACGAAAGUGGAACGACCCUUCGGGGAGCCAGCACAGGUGCUGCAUGGCUGUCGUCAGCUCGUGCCGUGAGGUGUUAGGUUAAGUCCUGUAACGAGCGCAACCCUCGUCGUUAGUUACAUGUGUCUAACGAGACUGCCGGUGAUAAGCCGGAGGAAGGUGGGGAUGACGUCAAGUCAGCAUGGCCUUUAUAUCCUGGGCUACACACACGCUACAAUGGCCGGUACAAUGGGCUGCCAAGUCGUGAGACGGAGCCAAUCCUUUAAAGCCGGUCUCAGUUCGGAUUGUAGGCUGCAACUCGCCUGCAUGAAGUCGGAGUUGCUAGUAAACGCGCGUCAGCAACAGUGCGUUGAAUACGUUCCCGGGUCUUGUACACACCGCCCGU